AGACCCGAAACCCGGUGAUCUAGCCAUGGGCAGGUUGAAGGUUGGGUAACACUAACUGGAGGACCGAACCGACUAAUGUUGAAAAAUUAGCGGAUGACCUGUGGCUGGGGGUGAAAGGCCAAUCAAACCGGGAGAUAGCUGGUUCUCCCCGAAAGCUAUUUAGGUAGCGCCUCGUGAAUUCAUCUCCGGGGGUAGAGCACUGUUUCGGCUAGGGGGCCAUCCCGGCUUACCAACCCGAUGCAAACUGCGAAUACCGGAGAAUGUUAUCACGGGAGACACACGGCGGGUGCUAACGUCCGUCGUGAAGAGGGAAACAACCCAGACCGCCAGCUAAGGUCCCAAAGUCAUGGUUAAGUGGGAAACGAUGUGGGAAGGCCCAGACAGCCAGGAUGUUGGCUUAGAAGCAGCCAUCAUUUAAAGAAAGCGUAAUAGCUCACUGGUCGAGUCGGCCUGCGCGGAAGAUGUAACGGGGCUAAACCAUGCACCGAAGCUGCGGCAGCGAACGUAUCACCCAAGACAACUUUACGGAGUUGACGAUUGACGGAGCGAAGCGACGUCAAAGCGUUCAUUAAAGUCGAGUUGGCUUAGGGAUACGUUCGUUGGGUAGGGGAGCGUUCUGUAAGCCUGUGAAGGUGUGUCGUGAGGCAUGCUGGAGGUAUCAGAAGUGCGAAUGCUGACAUAAGUAACGAUAAAGCGGGUGAAAAGCCCGCUCGCCGGAAGACCAAGGGUUCCUGUCCAACGUUAAUCGGGGCAGGGUGAGUCGACCCCUAAGGCGAGGCCGAAAGGCGUAGUCGAUGGGAAACGGGUUAAUAUUCCCGUACUUGGUGUUACUGCGAAGGGGGGACGGAGAAGGCUAUGUUGGCCGGGCGACGGUUGUCCCGGUUUAAGCGUGUAGGUGUGUGUUCCAGGUAAAUCCGGUUCACUUUAACACUGAGGCGUGAUGACGAGGCACUACGGUGCUGAAGCAACAAAUGCCCUGCUUCCAGGAAAAGCCUCUAAGCAUCAGGUA
rnacentral:rRNA from 1 species